GCAGCGGCUACUGCGAUCGCGUGCUUGUUAGGAUCCUCCUCGUACUCCGACGAACACUGAACCAUUACGGAAGUCUCCUGAUCAUCCGAAACUCCACGUUUUAUGUGCUGCUGCUGCUGCGGGUGGUCUUUCUCACGGUAUGAUUUCACAAAGUUCCAUCUUCGUUUCUCCUUCAAGCGACCCAUGGUUUGAUGCUGCUGUUGUGAUUGAGGCGGGUGGUCGGUUUUUUUAAGGCCGAGAAUUGCCCGGAACCACUUGGAGGCUUUACCCAUUUGGCUUGGGUCAGCAAUAGUGAAACUGCAGGGGCUUGGAGGCGUUUGAGAUAGGAUGC
rnacentral:misc_RNA from 1 species